AGUGCUUUUGUAGACACUCAAAGAACUUUACAUUAUUGAUCCAUUCUUCAUUCACUCUCACAUUCUCCCUCUGGUGGAGGUAAACUACAUCUGUAGCCACAGCUGUCCUGGGGCAGACUGACAGACCCCCUCUGUGUUUCAUGUGGGGUACUUUGAACCCUCCUUAAUGCUUUUAGAUUCCUAAACCCAAGGCGUACCUCUGGGUCUGGUUCUGGGUCUGGGUCUGGGUCUGGUUCUGGUUCUCCCUGUUCUGGGCUGUCUCCUUUCAGUCCGUUUGUGUUCGUGGUGCUACUGUUCAUGUCAGGUCCACAGUGAAAGGCCCCGCCCUCUGCUGUUUAACAGGUCAGAUCCACAGUGAAAGGCCCCGCCCUCUGCUGUUUAACAGGUCAGGUCCACAGUGAAAGGCCCCGCCCUCUGCUGUUUAACAGGUCAGAUCCACAGUGAAAGGCCCCGCCCUCUGCUGUGGAACAGGUGUGGUUUGGACACCGAUGGCCCCGCCCUCUGAAAUGCCCACCUGGACCACUGUGUGUGUGUGUGUGCUUGUGUGUGUGUUUGUGUGUGGCCUUUCAGUAACUGUGUGUGUGUGUGUGUGUUCAUCAGAUGUUAAACUGUCCCACACCAGAGGAUAGUAGAGUAAACCCCGCCCCCACUUACCUCACUGUAACCAUGGUUACCCUGCACCCCACCCCACCACCUCCUCUGUGUUACCAUGGAAACCCCAGUUCCUCCCUGCUCUUCAUCAUCAUCAUCAUGUUGUUGUUUUUUAUUUUGUUCACUGUCAGAGUAGAAACUUCAACUUUUAUAAUAAAACGACCAACUGAGGGAAAAGCA